rnacentral:lncRNA from 1 species
UGGGCAGCUAUGGAUGUGGAAGUAUCAAAUUUGAUAGUUGAUGAUCCUCAAAUGCUAGAUGAAAUUUUCCGAGCUAUGAUCGAGCUCAACAAAGAUGGCUGUCAAUUGGUGUUGUUGUUGAUGGAAAAUACAUCAAGGAGUGUAUAGAUCUGGAGUGUGAAGGCUGAAAUUCUUGUCUCUGCAGAUUUCUAAAUGUGUGUGUUCA